rnacentral:rRNA from 1 species
GGAAUCUUGCACAAUGGAGGAAACUCUGACGCAGCGAUGCCGCGUGAGUGAAGAAGGCCUUUGGGUUGUAAAGCUCUUUUGUAGGGGAAGAUAAUGACUGUACCCUAAGAAUAAGGUCCGGCUAACUUCGUGCCAGCAGCCGCGGUAAUACGAAGGGACCUAGCGUAGUUCGGAAUUACUGGGCGUAAAGCGCGCGUAGGCCGUUGAGUUAGUUAAUUGUGAAAUCCCAAAGCUUAACUUUGGAACUGCAAUUAAAACUGCUCGACUAGAGUUUGAUAGAGGAAAGCGGAAUACAUAGUGUAGAGGUGAAAUUCGUAGAUAUUAUGUAGAACACCAGUUGCGAAGGCGGCUUUCUGGAUCAACACUGACGCUGAGGCGCGAAAGUAUGGGUAGCAAAGAGGAUUAGAUACCCUCGUAGUCCAUACCAUAAACGAUGAUUGCUAGAUGUUGGAAAUUUAUUUUCAGUAUCGCAGCUAACGCAUUAAGCAAUCCGCCUGGGGAGUACGACCGCAAGGUUAAAACUCAAAUGAAUUGACGG